UACGUAGGGUGCGAGCGUUGUCCGGAAUUACUGGGCGUAAAGAGCUCGUAGGCGGUUUGUUGCGUCGGCUGUGAAAUCCCGAGGCUCAACCUCGGGUCUGCAGUCGAUACGAGCAAACUAGAGUGUUGCAGGGGAGACUGGAAUUCCUGGUGUAGCGGUGAAAUGCGCAGAUAUCAGGAGGAACACCGAUGGCGAAGGCAGCUCGCUGGGACGGUACUGACGCUGAGACGCGAAAGCGUGGGGAGCAAACAGG
rnacentral:rRNA from 1 species